rnacentral:rRNA from 1 species
AUGGCACUCAUCUUGAACGGAGAUGGUACAUGCUCCAUGGUCUACCCCGAGGGCACCACGCCGAUCUGGCUCCGCCCGGCUGACCGCCCCAAAGCCGAUCCAACACUUUCCCCACCCAAGUCGGUCCUCCUCGACACCUUGGGGUACGUCGACGACGAAUGCAACGAUACCACGGCCGAGCACGUCGCCGAGGACGGCAAGUGCAUCCAGGUGACCUUCUGGAUGUACCACCCGCCGCUAGUCUCGUAUUUUACCAUCCACUCCCCCGGCCUGAAACCUGACGCGUACCCGGAGAUGCCAAAGAUUCUGGCGACGGACGGCCACCUUGCGCUGCUCCGCAUCCCCCGCUUACCAGUAAACCCCUUCAGCGAUCAGCCCGCUAACCAGUUCUUCAUCUACCGGGUCGGCAGCAGCACUGGCGAGAAGCAGCCGUCGCUUCGUAUGCUCCCCAACCCCUCUAAGCUCGUAAUUCGCGACCGUAAUGUUGGUUUCCUGAACUACGGCACUCGCGACCAGGCCGACUAUAGGUUCUUCGCUGCUGCGUUCUACGCAGCGCACCCACUCAGACCUGGCGGCUCCGUGAAGUUCUAUAUCAACCUGUUCGACUCAGAGACCUGGGAAUGGACCAGAAAGGAGGUUUUUGUCAAUUCACCUGACGCUUACCGUUACAGGAUCACAAACAAGGUGAUCACUAUUGGAGGACAGCAUGGCUCAAUUGCCUGGGUCGACCUCUCACAUGGUAUCCUCAUCUAUGACGCGCUCCUGCACAACAAUAUUCUCCGUUACAUUCCGUUGCCGCCUUCGGAGUUGCCCGACCCCAGAAUCAACUCUGUGCGUGACAUGGCUGCCGUCGAUGGCUGCCUCAAGUAUGUCAGCAUGAGCUACCCUCCUUUGACCCAAAGCAGCACUAGCUACUACUUCGGAGAUUGGAAAGCCAAGGCAUGGAAGAUGGCAAUGCAUCCUUCAGGGACCUGCCCAAUUUCAAGGCAAUGGAAGGAGGACUACCAUCUCAGAGCUUCGGAGAUCAUGAUUGAUGACCCGAGCCAUCUUGAGCUGCUGCCUGAUCUGCCCAACAGUUUUAACAAGAAGCAGGUCCUGACGAAGCUCCACACAGGCAGUCCUGCUGUGAGCUUGCAUGAUGAUGGCAUUGUUUACAUCAUGACCAAGGUUGAGUUCUCAGAUCGCAACGCAUGGGUGCUUGCUGUCAACACGAGCACCAAGGCUCUCCAAGCGGUGGGUGAGUUUGACGCUGAAAGAUGCAUGGGUUUCAGUUACACCUACACUCAAAGUGGGAUCUCCAAACAUAUGGUGUUGAGUUAA